rnacentral:rRNA from 1 species
UACGUAGGUGGCAAGCGUUAUCCGGAUUCACUGGGCGUAAAGAGCGCGUAGGUGGUUCUGUAAGUCAGGUGUGAAAUUCCCCGGCUUAACCAGGGAAAGCCAUCUGAUACUGCUGGACUUGAGGGCGGUAGAGGGAGGUGGAAUUCCCGGUGUAGUGGUGAAAUGCGUAGAUAUCGGGAGGAACACCAGUGGCGAAGGCGGCCUCCUGGGCCGUUCCUGACACUGAGGCGCGAAAGCGUGGGGAGCGAACAGG